ACAACCGGACCGGGUCGAAAGGCAAAUGGGGUUUCUUUCUCCCGUCUCUGACCCCGUUCGUUCUACAGCUCGAGCCCCCUUGAAGCACCUCUGGAUACUCUCUCUCUCUCUCUAUCUGUCAUAACACAGCGAAUCGGUAGGCAAUUGUUGUCACCGCGCGAAUUCUUCGACCUUUCGUCGGAUUCUUGCCCAGAAGCACUCUACGAUUUUUUUCUGGUUUCCUUUUCGUUCUGAGUAUAUCUUGAUCAAAAUCCUUACUUUUCGUGUCUUCUGUUCCCCACAGGGAACCAACUUGUCUGCCAUAACAGAGCUCAACCACCAGAGCGUGGGCAGCGUGCGUGUUUGUCUCCUCUCUCUAAUUCGUUUUCUUUUGUUUAGCAUCUUUGUAUGUUUAUGGUUCAGUGAUGCCCUUAUCUGGAACUAAAAAGUAUCCGAAAAAUGAAGUUUCUUUGACGUAUUUCUUUGGAAUCGGUUGAUUGCAUGACACGGUCGAUAGUAUGUCUAUGCUACUUUUAAUUGAUGGUGGCGGCAAUGGGAUCGAAGACAACCUGUGGAGACUAUAAAGUUGGGAUUUUUAUGUUGGCUGAUAAUGUGAUAUGCGGAAUCGUCAUUUUCAGUUGUUCUUUUGUUGGAGGAGUGAGGGAUUGAGAUGUCAGUGAUUGUUUGUUCUAAAGCAUUAUCUGUUGGAAAAUAAUUCUACUAAGAAAUCCAGUGUCAUCUGUAUUGGUGUAGAUAGUGUUGUAUAAGGCAUAAGAUGAAUGGUUGAUAAGGAUUGAAUCUAAUAUUGACUUAUUAGAUCCGAGAGAUAAAUAUGUUGGAACUUGGAAUUCUUCCCAGUUUUAGAAGAUUCAUAGUCUGUCCUUGAUCUGCUUGCAAUGGAUAAAAGUCCUGACUGUAAUGAACUCAUAACCAUAAUGAAGGCUUCAAAGGUUCUCACAAGUUUGGUGUACUUGAUCAUAGUUCUGACUUUUUUUCUCACUGAUUCAAUUCAGAUAUUACAUAAUACACAUAGAUCUCUUGACUGCACACAAAACACCUUAAACACUAGGAUAUCUCCUCAGACGUGUAUGCUUGUGUGUGUCUAUGUUUUGCUUUUGAAGCUCUUGAGGUUUCCAAUAUAUCUAUUUCACAAGUAAUGCCUUUCUAGGUGUGCAUACUGUAUUAUUUUUAUUUUCCUCCAUCUCAUUCUUCUUAGCUAUAUGAAUUAAAAAUCUCUUCUUGAUAUCCGUGUUUUAGAAGUUGGAUGCCCGUAUAUAUUGGUUAAGACAAAAGCAAAUACUGCAUGUAGCACUUAUAGGUGAAGUUGUAUGACUAUCUGAUUACAGUUGCUACUUGCAUUUGAAACUGAGCUAGAGAAGCUGAUGGCGGGUGCUUGGAAAGGAAGAAGAGGUAUAAGAAGGGGUAGGAUGUACCUGAACACAAUUUUAACUUGCAAACUACUAUGCAAGUAUGACAUACACCAUUUUAUAUCACAAAUUUGCUUGUAACAUAAAAGAGUUUAGUUGCACAUAUACAUGCCACAAGUGACUUGCAUGCAAUCAAAUAUGAAAUGUGGUACUUGCUGCAAAAAUAUUUCUUACUCAUGGGCAAUCCAAUGCCCUGUGCAUCAAGGUGAUAUUCCAGCUUUUGGUAGAUUCUCAAAACAUUUUGUGCCAAGAGGACAUUGGUUCAAAUGCUUUGACCCUUUAUAAAUGCAGCUUGAGCUCCAUUUACUGACUGCUUCCAUGUUCUUUUGCAGAUUGUUUGUGAUGAUCCCUAUGGUACAUUUAUAGCGAACAAGCGAUGGGCAUAUAAUCUGCAAAAGUUACUGGGAUGUGGUAGAUAUAGAAGAGAUCUUAAUGGAAGUCUGGUAUAGCUUCAGUUAAUAUAGCUUUAGUGAAGCCCUCAAUAACAGGUCAAGCUAAACCCUGCAGAAGCCAUCUGGGAUUGGGGCUGUCCCGUUUGAUUGCAAAUAAGACCUCUUUAGCUUAAAGGGGAAUAACAUCUGUACCAAGCUAAUGUCUUACCUCUUCGUAAAUGACAGAAUCAGCUUGAGCCCUUGGAAGAAACCUGAAUGCCAAGCAAAUUUUGGUAGAAAGAGAUACACUCUACGGCUACAUUUGCCUCAUCGAUUAGUUUGACUCCUCAAGAGUGAACAUGAAAGUAUUAUAGUGUCUCUUAAUGCCUUAAUAGAGAGAAGAGUGUAUUCGUGUUAAGCAUUUUUUGUCCCAUUGAUUACAACUCAAUAUUGUCAGGUAUUAUGCCGUUUCUACUAUAGUGGAACCAUCUCUGUUUUUUCCCUGUUUGACCUGUUAAAUAUAUUUGACUACUUGUUAGUGCCAAGUGUUUUGAAGCUAUGAUUCAGCUUCCUAAGCUUUUGGGUUAUCUAAAACAGUUUGGUGUCCUGUGUAUCCUCACCAUUCCAAUAAUCUAAAAAUUUUGGAAGAAAUUUAGUUUCAGAAUCACAUGAAUAAAAAUCCAUGAUCGAUUGACUAAUUUAUACCCUGCUUCCUAUAAUUCAGAUCAGUAGCAGACUGUUUAUUUGACCAUGUAUGCUUUCAGCUCUUGUACUCUAAACAAACCUUUAAACCGUUGAUAGAAGUGUCAUUUCCUGAUCCAAGUUCAUCAGCCUGAGAACUCAGUUGUAAUCCCCAUUAUGAUCACAGGAAUAUUGCAUAAUAGUGAUAAAGUCAGCCAUACUGGUUCUCUUGGAUUUGGUGUGAGCCCCAUGGGCAACAAUCACAACAUAUAACUAGGAGCUGAAUGCUUAAAACUUGGAAUUGGAUCUACAUAUGGUGAUCUUGUUAAACUAAUCAAGAUCUGAAUGGCAUCUAUCUCUCAGUUGUUGGUAGGUAAAUACAUAAUGUUUGAGAGUUGAACUUCUUGAAGAGAACUUGCAUCCAUAGCUGCAAAGAGUAUCUGCAAGCCUUAAACAUGACAAGUCUCUAUCCAUACAAAACUUGAUGAUAGUAUUGUUUUAGCAAUGAAAGCCAUGGAUGAGGAUCAUGUAUGAAAUUUCUAUUUAUUUCCAUCCAGUAAAGUACUGCUACAUAACAAGUAUAUGGAUGGGCAACUUGGUCUUCUCUGAUGAUUCACACAGUGAUGGAGGUUGCAGCUUGUGAUGGACCACCUGGAGCUGAAGGCACGAAAGACCAAAGAAGAGCAUCUCUUUCCAUGGGACAAAGGGGACAAGGCAUGAAAAGAACCACUGACCUGGGGUUGAUGGAUGGAGGAAGACAAGUGGCACAACAGAGCCUCUACAUAAUCUUGUCAUUCUCAGAUCAUGAUCUCUUCUUCUUGGAAAGGAAGCCUCCUCCUUGUUGGUCACAGGGACCACGAGACGACGACGACACUACUACGGAAUGGAAGGCAACAGGCAGGUUUGAUGUGAUCAAAUCACAAAAUGGUCCUUUGGCAUUCUCAGCCAGAUUUGCCCAUUGAUGUGGUAUUGGCAUAUUAUGUGUACUGAAACAAGGUGGAGAAUAAAAAAUGUUGAUCUUACAUAUAAUUAUUUUUUUUUUUGAAAUAUAACUAGUUUAAUUGUGUAUGUGGGUGUGGUUUUCAAAGAAAUCUUCCAUUGAUUUCUUAUGCCACCAUAAAUCCAACUAAUUGCAACUAGGUGACACAAUAUCUAGAGAAUGAUAUCUAGGCCAGCACAAUAAUUACUUGAAAAUAUUUUAUGGUGGUUAGCCAGAGCUUAGAUAAACACCAAGAUCAGGUCAUUCCUGACAUGAUCAACUAUGUUUAGAACAGGGUGACAGUUUGAGACCAUGGCAUCUGUUCAUAUCCACAGAAAAAAUUCUUAGGUAAGGGAACCUUUCAUUUCAAGAAGAUGUUGUAGCACUCAGUGUGUGGAGACUGAUAGUAUUCUAAUUGUUGUACAAGACUGUCAAAGAAUGUU